rnacentral:rRNA from 1 species
GAUGAACGCUGGCGGCGUGCCUAAUACAUGCAAGUCGAGCGAACAGACGAGGAGCUUGCUCCUCUGACGUUAGCGGCGGACGGGUGAGUAACACGUGGAUAACCUACCUAUAAGACUGGGAUAACUUCGGGAAACCGGAGCUAAUACCGGAUAAUAUAUUGAACCGCAUGGUUCAAUAGUGAAAGACGGUUUUGCUGUCACUUAUAGAUGGAUCCGCGCCGCAUUAGCUAGUUGGUAAGGUAACGGCCUACCAAGGCGACGAUGCGUAGCCGACGUGUGAGGGUGAUCGGCCACACUGGAACUGAGACACGGUCCAGACUCCUACGGGAGGCAGCAGUAGGGAAUCUUCCGCAAUGGGCGAAAGCCUGACGGAGCAACGCCGCGUGAGUGAUGAAGGUCUUCGGAUCGUAAAACUCUGUUAUUAGGGAAGAACAAAUGUGUAAGUAACUAUGCACGUCUUGACGGUACCUAAUCAGAAAGCCACGGCUAACUACGUG